UUGAAAUCGGACAGUGUGGUUAGAUUAACGAGAGUCUUGUCUUUAAAAUGGUGUAAAAUAGUCAUAUGUUUGAGAAAUUGAAGUAAUAGCAUUUCUAAGGUAUUUGAAAAUCGCGCCACGGGAUUACACUGGCUGUUGCGUAGGUGGGACGAUUUCGUCCCACCUAGCCCAGAGAGGUUAACGUUAGGGAUGCUGAGAACAACGUUAGUGAAGCUACCGUGACCCCCGCUGGCACUUCAACAUCCACUGUAGCCGGUGGAGGGAGAAUAUAUAGAUUCAAUGCGAAUUGGCUCAAAAUGUUCCCUGGCUAGAGUUCGAAAACAACGUCAUGUUCUGCAAAUAUUGUAGAGGGCAGAAACUGGCGGGCAACUCCUCCUUCGUGUCAGGAAACCCGCAUCUGAAAAGAGAUAACAUCUCGCGGUGGCAUCCAGUGCAGAGAUCUGUACCUGUUGAGACAGGAGAAACCAUCAGGCACGGUGUCAGCAGCCUUGAGGAGGCAGGUGCUGCUGUCUGAGGAGGAGAAGAGGAGGCAGCUGAAAAUAAAGAUAAACAUCGCAUACUUCAUUGCGGAAGAAGAACCUUUCGUCAAAUUUGGGCCGCUUAUCAGACUCCACCAAAAAAACGUAGUUGAAAUUAAUCCCACAUACGACAAUGAUGUAAGAUGUGAGGAGAUGAUCGGUCAAAUUGCUGACAUUAGGAGAGAGAGCCUGUCAGCGAAGCUGAAAGCCGCAUAGUAUCUUGCCGUUCUAAUAGACGGAGACACUGAUAUAUCUAACACCGAAUGCGAGAUUGUCUACGUAUGCUUGUUGGAGGAUGGGAAGCCAGUCAAUCUCCUGGUCGGACAACAGACCCUUGAACUCUCAUGCCAUUGGUAAGUUGUUCGUCUUUAUAGGCUUUAUUCUUGUGUAAAGUUGAAUCAUUAUUCAUAAUGGAGAUAAUUUAGUUUGUCAGAAGUACUUUUGUAUAAUUGUUUUUUUGUGUUGUCAUUCGAGGUGUUUUGGAUGCCACCAAGGCCACAUUUCGUGCUGUUUGCCCAGAGGAGGAUGGAGAGUCAUGGAUGAAGUAGUGCAUCUCCUUCGGGGCAGAUGGUGCCUCCGUGAACAUGGGCUACCGUGGGGGAGUGAUUGCCCACCUGCAGAGAGAGGCAGGGGGGCAUAUUAUCCCAAUCCACUGCAAGAGCUCGGUGUGGAUAUUUGCACACCGUCUAGCGUCAAGGGAACUCACUGGAUCCCCCAUGUCCACAGAGCCCUCAAAGUGUUCCUACGGCAUGGACAAGACAAGGACCUUGCAACUGACGAAGGCCAGUACUCCGUUGUUCUGCAGUACAUGGAGUACCUGGCCGUAGCAUCGACAACAGCGGAAGUUCAAGGGCAGGCAAAGAAGACAUGUUUGAGGAGCUAUCCUCACUUAGCCUCACCCUGCAAAGGAAUGACCUGAUCCUCCCCCAAGCCACACCAGAGUUGAGGAAGACCAUGACCAGACUGGAAGCACUAAAGCUUAGGGCAAAGGCAGGAGGCAUGCUGGAGAAGAUCCAGACCAUGCUUGCUCAGCAGCAGGGUGAUUCCAGGGAAUAACACUGAAGGGGAAUCUGAAAGGCUUCACGGACCUCACCAAUCCCCAGCUGAAGCAGCACAUGGAGGCGGCCAUCAACAUCGGCGUGGAUGAUCUCAAAGCCAGGUUUGGUGGUUUGCUGAAAGAUGAGGUGUCCAGACCCCAGUGGUCUUUCAGAGUGCUAAACCCUGACACAUGGCCAGAAGACCAGGCCAGCCUUCUCACCUUUGGCGAUGAUGGUGUGGCAUACCUAAUGAGGCAUUUCAAGGAGCCUCUAGAGAGAUCGGGGUGCAACAUGGCUGCAAUCCAGGAUGAGUGGCAGGGGCUGAAAAUCCUGGUCAGCCACAAUUUCAAGGAUAAGUCCUACAGUGGCCUGUGGGAGACCAUGUUGACAAAGGACCCCUACAGGCACGAAUACAAGGAGAUGUGGAUGACUCCGUGGCUAAGCAGGCCUACCAGGCUCUGUUUGUACUCUUUUUGUACAAACCCAACGACCAGAGGUACUGGAACUUCUCCAAUGACGUCAUCCGCAGAUCCAGAGAGGACUUUGGCUAUGCCUACGCACCCAACGAAAAGGUGUCGGUCCUGGCAGCCAUAGCCCAUGACUCUGUAUGGCUGUACGCUCAGGCUCUGAAUGAAACCCUGGCGGAACACGGAGACCCAUACGAUGGGUUCACCAUAACUCGCAAGAUGUGGAACCGAACCUUCACAGGUUAUCGCCAAUUACUUUGGUACAAAUAAGUCUUAUGAGCCAGUUGAGGGGGUCCAAGCCUACUGGCCAGGAGGGAGGAAGACUCCACCGAAGGACACACCCCCACUUAGUCUCUGCAGUACUCAGAUGAUAAUGUUGUGUUGGGUUGAUAGCUGACUCUUAACAGACCUGCUUGGGUUAGGUAGAUAUGACCAAAAAUGCAGCUGCUGGUGAAGUUUUGUCCCAUGCUUUCUGGUAAUACUUUUUGUCAGUCUAAUGCAAUGAUGUAUAUAAACCCUGGAUUGCGGAUGAUAUGAGAGGCUUUGAAGCCAUCGGUCGGCCAUAUUGGCACGCCCCAGUAGGUACAGUCAUCCAUAGGAAUUAAUGGAAUUCUACAGUAUUUUAAUUAAAUGUUUCAAGGACAAAAUGUAUUUAAGUAUUUUGAUGUUGUUGUGGGGACAGUAUGAUUAGAAAUAAAAAAAUAUAUACUUUAAAUAAGGAAAAUGUGUAUAUGUUUCUAUUUUUAUGUUUAGCUCACGUAAUAUAAUUUAAAGGUAUGCAUUAAAGUGUCUGUAAUAUAAUAAAUGUGGCAAAAAUGAAUGUAGACAUUAAUAAAUGCAUUUCUAUAGCUUCCAAAAAUAUUUUUUGCAAUGUUGGGGGAGUGCCAAGAUGGAGGCAAAGUGGCUUCAACACAUCACCUCCUGUUAGCAAUCUAGUGUAUAUAUAAAUCAUUGGUCUCAUGAUAUACAUUUAUAAUUUAUUUAGUCAUAAUUUAUUUCUGAUCUUUAUUCAUUCAUCAAAAUACAUUAAUUUGAUUAGUUAAUUUGUUUACUUGAUGAAAAACAGCAGGCAGCAGGCAUUGUGGUCUGUCCUCUCCAGGCUUGUAUGUCCUCAUAUGUCAUAUAAGUAUUGUCACUUGACAGCACUUGCAGUGUGUUACCACACCAACAGGGGGGGCCAGAGCCCCAUAUAUGCUCUAAAGCUGUGUCUGUUCUGUUGCUGUCUGUCCCACUUCUCUGCUCUCUGAUAUGCUGUGUAUGGACCUGAUUGCUCCGGCUACACCAUAGGUCACCCAACUCCAUCAACCCCGGUGCCGGCACUGUCUCCCCCAAGAUUAACACAAGGAGGGAGGGAGAAAGAGAAAGGAGUGCGUCAGAGAGAGGGAGAAUGACAGUGGCAGAGAGAGAGAGAACCAGAGAGAACAAGAAUUGACUCCCAAAAACAGUUACACAUUGAAUUGUUCACUUAUGCCUGCAGGACGAAAGGAAAUCGUUAUUUUAUUCUCCACUGAAAUAUUACUUAUUUUAAUGCCGUUUUAUUAAAGUCCCCUCAGCUACCUAGGUAGACCUCAUAACGGUUUAGCCGGGGUUAUGUAACGGGUUACGUUACAAAUGGCACCCUAUUCCGUACACAGUCCUGGUCAAAAGUAGUGCACUGUGAAGGGAAUAGGGUGCCAUUUGAGAAGUAACCAAGGUUUGUAUGCUUUGUUAUCAAUUGUUUUCUAUCUGGAAUUCUCUCUGGAUGGAUUUGGUAUAUUGUCCGAAAAUGUUUUCUUUGCCGUUGCUUCUAGCUUGCUUUGGCAGACGGACUCGUACAUAUGGCCCCUAGAAGAAUGUGUGGAACUUAUUGAUGUUUGGGCUUUAUUAUAUAUAUUUUUUAAUUAGUGUUAAGACGGGAUUCAUGUGGAAGAGAUGCAAGAAUGCAAAUGAGAAAGUUUUGUUUGGCCACCUGUUUAUGAAAAUAACACUUUUGUGCGUGUAUUGAUAAAUGAAUCCCCUUAAAGGGAUGAUAAAGAUUAGAACGUGUAAUCUACUACAUUAUAGAUAUGCAGGACAUUAUUGAUUUACUUCUCCUUUAUCUAUUCAGGUGUUUAUGUUAAGAUGAGCAAAUUUAUCUUCCAAAUGAGUCAUGAAAUGCAAUAAAAUCAAUGUUUAAUAAAAGGUUUGUUUGAAAACAGU